GAUGAACGCUGACAGAAUGCUUAACACAUGCAAGUCUUUGGCGAAUCUGUGCUUGCUCAGGCUAGCCAAGGCGGACGGGUGAGUAACGCGUAAAGAACUUGCCCUGCCUACAGGGAUAACAGACGGACACGACUGAUAACACCUGAUACAGUUGCCGGCACGCAUGUGCCUGGCAAUGAAAAGAGAUGCUGCAGGAGAGCUUUGCGUCCUAUUAGCUUGUUGGUGAGGUGACGGCUCACCAAGGCGAUGAUAGGUAGCCGGCCUGAGAGGGUGAACGGCCACAAGGGGACAGAGAUACGACCAUUACUCCUACGGGAGGCAGCAGUGGGGAAUAGUGGAAAAUGGGGGCAACCCUGAUCCAGCAAUUCUGUGUGGACGAAGAAGGUUAUCGGAUUGUAAAGUGCUUUCAGCAGGGAAGAAGAAAGUGAAGGUACCUUCAGAAGAAGCGAAGGCUAAAUACGUG
rnacentral:rRNA from 1 species